rnacentral:rRNA from 1 species
AGAACGAACGCUGGCGGCAUGCCUAACACAUGCAAGUCGAACGCUCUUGGGGCUUCGGUCUCAGGGGAGUGGCGCACGGGUGAGUAGCGCGUGGGAACCUGCCCUGUUGUGGGGGAUAACCGAGGGAAACUUCGGCUAAUACCGCAUAAGCCGGUUGUCUUGAAGGAGAUGGCCGGGAAAGAUUUAUCGCGACAGGAGGGGCCCGCGUCGGAUUAGCUAGUUGGUGGGGUAACGGCCCACCAAGGCUGUGAUCCGUAGCUGGUCUGAGAGGAUGAUCAGCCACACUGGGACUGAGACACGGCCCAGACUCCUACGGGAGGCAGCAGUGGGGAAUAUUGGACAAUGGGCGCAAGCCUGAUCCAGCAAUGCCGCGUGAGUGAUGAAGGCCUUAGGGUUGUAAAGCUCUUUCGCCCGCGACGAUGAUGACGGUAGCGGGAGAAGAAGCCCGGCUAACUUCGCGCCAGCAGCCGCGGU